ensembl:lncRNA
UUUACCAAACGGCUCACCUCCGCAUGAUGAAGAGGAGGAGUGGGCCACAUAGUUUGGCAUGCACAAGCACACCCUGCAGACAUGGCAAAGCUUAGGACACAGAUCAUGGAUUAUGUAGAGCUGUGUGAUAGUAACAUUGCUUGUGUGUGAAAGUUAAUGGAUUAUGUAAAGCUAUGUGAUAGUAACAUUGCUUGUGUGUGAAAGUUAAUGGAUUAUGUAAAGCUAUGUGAUAGUAACAUUGCUUGUGUGUGAAAGUUAAUGGAUUAUGUAAAGCUGUGUGAUAGUAACAUUGCUUGUGUGUGAAAGUUAAUGGAUUAUGUAAAGCUAUGUGAUAGUAACAUUGCUUGUGUGUGAAAUAUAUAACCCUUGUGGUUUGUGAGUAUCAGGGCUUCACUUUCAGCCUUGUGCUGGGGGUGAGCCCAAUUGCAAUUGUUGUUUGUCUAAUAAAUAUACUUAUAUGCAGCUCCGGAGUCCUGAGGUAACUAGGGUGAAUUUUCACCUAUCACUAUCUGAUCAGGUCUAUGGAUGGAUGAUUCUUACAGGGGUGAGGCAGAGUGGUCCAAUCAGACUAUCUGAUCAUGGAUGGAUGAUUCUUAAAGGGCUGCAGCAGACUGGUCCAAUCAGACUAUCUGAUCAUGGAUGGAGGAUUCUUAAAGGGCUGCAGCACACUGACUGGUCCAAUGAAAAGAAGGUUUGAGUGGGAAGCCUCAAGGGCUGGAGGCUAGCACUACUCCAAACUUUGCUAUGUAAAUGUUUUACCCCGUGGCUGUUGUUGUUCAUCCAGCCCGUACCUCGGUGCCCGUCCUGGCGCAUCCCUUUGGACCUGAAAUAGGGGCGUGUCCCUGUGUGGCCCCCGUGGUUUGGUGAACUUGGUGUCUUCUCAUCAAGAUGGGCAAUGAACCAACCGAGAUGAAGGCAGAGGUAGUUAGCCCGGGUUCUUACGGAUGCGGCUGACGGUGGACACUGGACACGCUUUCAUUGAACAUCAGCCAACACUUUCUCCUGCAGAAAUAAGCGUCAGCUUGUGCACAGGACUAGGAGAGACAUCUGGGUCAAAUUAGUGACUCUUCCCUUGUGUUUUCAACUAAACACUGAAUAGAUACCCUUAUGUUAUACCGCGCCCCUUCCGACCUGAAAUAUUUUGUAUUUUGUCGCAUCUUUUGUUGGCCUUGUAUAUAAAUGCUGUUGUGAACCUGAUGUCUGACUGUGCUGGUUAUUUGUAUUGCCAAUAAAGUUUUCGGAGUACAUUUGGCCGCAAGAAUAUUCUUUUUUUCUUUUAAUACCACACACUGGAGUUCACAUAAUCUCGUAAUGUACUUAUGCUGGAUAGCCUGGUUGUGUUACGACCUGCCAACUGGCGAAGCGACAAUUUGGACAACUAUGGUACCUCAACAUCACUCAGGCUGUAGUGUCUAGCCUAUAGCUUAGCUAGCCUUAGCUUAUAGCUCACCGGACCUCAAUGUCCACUUUAAAAAAAAAAAUGAAAUGUCAUUUCAACAAAACUCUCCUGAGUUUGUUGCAGUUUAUUUAAUUGCAUGCUCUAUAUGCUUCUAGAAUUGCUCUGCUCCUAAUUGUUUAGACCCUCAGAACAUUUGAAAUAGUUGACAGGGUCAAUGUAGUUUUCUGUUCCAUCCGUCAGCAUUUGUGAGCAAAGGUCAAGUUAUAAGAGAGAAAACUUGGUUAAUAGACAUCAAUUUGAUAAACAGAAAAGGAAGAUUUAUGUAAGCAAUUAACCGCAGGUAAUAUGGCCACUUUAUCAGCAUCAGCAAUAUGACAUAGAGGGAGAGGGAGAGAGACAGGCCCGCCUGGCAAGGUGUAUGGCAAUUUUAUUUUUGUUUAGUUUUGAUGAGUUAUGUUUAGUUAUGGUUAGGAUAGAAGGGUAGCAGGAUGUGUUGCAUGCUGUACACGGAAUCCGUAAAGGCAUUCCUUCAUGGUAAAACAUGCGCCGUCUCAGUUAUGUUGGCUGGCUUGGUGCAUAGGGAUUUUUAGUUAUACAAGCAGAAUAAGGGUGGCAGGAUACAAUAGCAGUGCACAACUGGCUGGUGACAGCCGCAACACGCGUCACAUGCUGUACCCGGGAUCCGUAAAGGCACUCCUUCACGGUACAAUAUGCACUGUCUGUAGCCAACUCCUGCUAAACACAACAACAUGACCAGCAAGACGAAGCAAAGAAUGUUUAAAAGGAGCAUUUGAUGCAUUAUUCAUGACUAUAGGAUACACUAAAGAGAAAUGUCUUUAGUCUCGAUUUGAUUAUGGAAAGGGUGUCUGCAUCU